rnacentral:rRNA from 1 species
GACGAACGCUGGCGGCGUGCCUAAUACAUGCAAGUCGAACGCAGUGGGGACGGGUGAGUAACACGUGGGUAACCUCCCAUCAGAGGGGAUAACACUUGGAAACAGGUGCUAAACCGAUACUGAUGGAUGGACCCGCGGUGCAUUAGCUAGUUGGUGGGGUAACGGCUCACCAAGGCCACGAUGCAUAGCCGGCCUGGGAGGGGGAGCGGCAACAUGGGGACUGAGAAACGGCCCAGACUCCUACGGGAGGCAGAAGUAGGGAACCUUCGGCAAGGGAGGAAAGUCUGACCGAGCAACGCCGCGGGAGUGAAGAAGGUUUUCGGAUGUUAAAACUCGUUUGUUAGAGAAGCGGUAUCUAACCAGAAAGCCACGGCUAACUACGUGCCAGCAGCCGCGGUAAUUC